AUCGAUCCUCUUACAACACUUGCACUAGGUUAAAUGUCAAUCGUAUUGAUCAUUUAACCCUAGAACGAUUUUUAAUCAUUGAUCAACCAUCUGAUCGGAUCAUGAACUCUAAUGUGUGUGACCUCAUAGGUCCGAAUCUAAGCCGGUAGCAUAGGAAUAAAUUUUUAUACCAAUCGAAGUGAUCAUCUAGCAAUGGUACCCGACGAUCGGAUAGAUCGAAUGUGUAGAACAACAUCCUUAGAACCCAUGCGGAUAUAGUUUCUAUAUAAUUCAUCCCCUUCACCAAAAUAAUCAUAGGACACCUCAGAGUUCAACUGUCAACUCUGAUCAGGUUGUUCACACUAUAUUUCAAAAUAUCAAAUCCAUC
rnacentral:lncRNA from 1 species